GAGAUCGGACUUAUGAAUAGAAUCGUAUUUGUGAUUCCGUGCAUGGUUGUGAGGAAUUCUGUCAUGGUAUAACCCAGAUUUUGACCAGUAAGAGUUCGUUAGAUGGCUGGAAGGAGGGUCAUCGAGUUUGAUGUUCAUUGUUUCUGGUCAGAGGCCUCAAAUCGUGCUCAAAAUGUCACUCCGGACCAUUAUUUUUGACCGAGAGAGCAAUUAAAGAUGAAAUAAAACUAGGGUUAGGUGGGUUUUAAUACAUACAGUGCGGAAAUUGCUUGUUCCCAGAAGCUGAGAAAAAUGCAAAGGGAUGCAGAACUUCAGUGUCAAUACUCAAUACACAGAUUGGAACAGCUAUAAUCAACAGAGUGGGAGGCCCUCAGAAGAUAAACAACUUGUUGAUAACACUAAAUCUACCAUCGAAACAUGAAAGAAUUUUAAAGGAGGUGUUCAAUGCUGAAAAAUCAAAGAACAUUGGGUUGUUGCGUGAGCUAAUUAGUAAAGGUUUUAUGAAGAUGAGUUUGGCGGAGAACAUUGCUGGGUUCGGGCUUGCACUUUCUCAUCUAAAGCUCAUCUAUGGCAGGGAUGGUGAAAAUGGAUUAACUUUUGUGUUUUCUCCCAAAACCAGUGAUGGCAAACCUAGAGUGACUGGAACAUCUAAAAUUCGACAAAAUGUUGUCCUAAAGUUGUGUGAAUUUUUUGCUGCCACAUGAAUUUAUCAAUUGUACCUAAAUAAAUUAGUCUGUUUUAUGGAUCAUCUACUAGUGUCACACAUAUCAAAUGAGAUUAAUAUCCCUAUAGAAUCUACAGUUAUACUACAAGUACUAUUUAUUGUGUCAUUAAAAUCCCGAUAUUUAUUUUCUAAGUCUUUCUGUAUCAUAGAUUGUUUAUCACUCUGCUUUGAUAC